rnacentral:tRNA from 1 species
GAUAGUUCCGUUGUCGCAGCUGACUCUUAAUCAGCGGGUCGUAGGUUCGAGCCCUACAUCGCCCACCA